GGCGUUACUGGCCCCAAUGGGAAUGGCCUUGGGGCACUUGAGGAUUCCCCUGCUUCCAAUCUUGGACGUACAUUUAUGUUAUAGUCGGGCCAGCAAGGGACUGCAAGUCUACCUACGGAAAAUGCAACAUUAUGAUUAUAAGAUACAUAUGGCCAUGCAAAUAUUUGCUGGUCAUUUAGCACCUAAUAUGGACGUCAUUAUGAGUCAAGGAACAACAUGAGACAUCUUAUUUCUUCAGCAUGUGUAAGGCCAAUGUCGGACAGAGUCUCAGAGAUUGUAGUUUUCCCCACAGAGGUUGUAACCAUCACCGUCACCGAUUGCAUGCAAGACGUGAUUUUGCUGGUGUUUUCCACCAACCAAUGUGUAAGCCAUCUGGUUCCUUUCACCUUGCGAAUGUAGACAAAUACUAGUUGGUCUGCCCACGACGUAAGUGC